UACGUAGGGUGCAAGCGUUAAUCGGAAUUACUGGGCGUAAAGCGUGCGCAGGCGGUUUUGUAAGACUGUCGUGAAAUCCCCGGGCUUAACCUGGGAAUGGCGAUGGUGACUGCAAGGCUAGAGUUUGGCAGAGGGGGGUAGAAUUCCACGUGUAGCAGUGAAAUGCGUAGAUACGUGGAGGAACACCGAUGGCGAAGGCAGCCCCCUGGGUCAAAACUGACGCUCAUGCACGAAAGCGUGGGGAGCAAACAGG
rnacentral:rRNA from 1 species